rnacentral:rRNA from 1 species
AGCGAACGCUGGCGGCGUGCCUAACACAUGCAAGUCGAACGUGAACGGCUUCGGCCUAGUAAAGUGGCGUACGGGUGAGUAACACGUAGGUAAUCUACCCAAGAGUCUGGAAUAACCUGACGAAAGUCGGGCUAAUACUGGAUAGAGCGACGGAAUCCGUAAUUGGGUUUUUCGGGAAAGGGAGGAUGUAAAAGUCCCCUCGCUUUUGGAUGAGCCUGCGUCUCAUUAGCUAGUUGGUGGGGUAAUGGCCCACCAAGGCUUUGAUGGGUAGCUGGUCUGAGAGGAUGAUCAGCCACACUGGAACUGAAACACGGUCCAGACUCCUACGGGAGGCAGCAGUGGGGAAUCUUGCGCAAUGGACGAAAGUCUGACGCAGCCACGCCGCGUGAGUGAAGAAGGCCUUCGGGUUGUAAAGCUCUGUCGGGCGGGACGAAAAGUCAUUAGGUGAAUAGCCUAGUGAUCUGACGGUACCGCCAAAGGAAGCACCGGCUAACUUCGUGCCAGCAGCCGCCGUAAAAC